UACGGGAGGCAGCAGUGGGGAAUAUUGCACAAUGGGCGAAAGCCUGAUGCAGCUAUGCCGCGUGUAUGAAGAAGGCCUUAGGGUUGUAAAGUACUUUCAUCGGGGAGGAAAAAACAAAACUAAUAAUUUUAUUUCUUGACGUUACCCGAAAAAGAAGCACCGGCUAACUCCGUGCCAGCAGCCGCGGUAAUACGGAGGGUGCUAGCGUUAAUCAGAAUUACUGGGCGUAAAGAGCACGUAGGUGGUUUUUUUAAAGUCAGAUGUGAAAUCCCUGGGCUUAACCUAGGAACUGCAUUUUGAAACUGAAAUACUAGAGUAUCGUAGAGGGAGGUAGAAUUCUAGGUGUAGCGGUGAAAUGCGUAGAUAUCUGGAGGAAUACCUGUGGCGAAAGCGGCCUCCUAAACGAAUACUGACACUGAGGUGCGAAAGCGUGGGGAGCGAAACAGGGAUUAGAUACCCGU
rnacentral:rRNA from 1 species